rnacentral:tRNA from 1 species
GCGGGUAUAGUUUAGUGGUAAAACCUUAGCCUUCCAAGCUAGUGAUGCGG